UGCAAGGAUUAGUUUAAGUAGAAUUUCAGCUUUGGGUGCUGACGGUAGGGCUCAUGCUCUUUCCUU
rnacentral:tRNA from 1 species